CUGGAAGAACUUCUCAUUGCAGAGAACAUACAGAUAUUUAAAAAGAGGCAGAAUGGAAUAGUUAUCAAUGAUAAGCAAACAGAAGCUAUACAAAAGCCAUGGAAAUACCUGCUCAAAUGUUAACCCCAACCCUGCAAUUGGAACAAGCAAACAUAGGGACCCUGUUAUUUCCCCCAUAUAUUUAGUAUAUUUGAUCAUAUAUUUAAUUAUCUUUAAUAUUUAUUUAAUUUGUUUAUUUAGUUUGUUUGACAUAUGUAAUUUGUUGGAGCUUCUAUAAUUUGUGUGGUUUUACAAGUAUCUGAGAG
rnacentral:lncRNA from 1 species